UUGGCCGAGGACGUCUUCACCUGGGUGACCCGAGGGGACAGCCGGCCAAUCGGAGAUGAGGGGCUGUACAGUACCGUGUGUGUGUUGCCACACAACAGCUGGGAGUCCAAAAGGGUCCAACCUUUGUUCAAAUAUGCCAAAGACAUUUUAAGCUGACAUCAGUCAAUGAAGCCCACGCAGGAGUCUUCAGUUACUACGGAUAUGAGGGGGGGGAUCGAUGGAAGACUCGACCUGAUCCAUGUUAUGUCGUUCUGUGUGGAGACCUCAAUCAAUGGGGCAGGGUUAGGGUAGUUGCUCCUCGGCACAUGUGGGAGAACUGAGCUUUCUGGGUCAAUAUAUCACACACACUGAGAAGCUUGUUUCAUUUACGAUCUACUCUGAGCCUCCACAGAAAAAUGAUCCCAGGAACCUCUUAAAAGAAAAAAAAAAAGAAAAACCUGUAAAACUACCUGGGAUCCCCUUCAGGACCUCAGGUAGACCCUUGAUGGAUGGGGAUAGGUCUACCACCCCCCCCAAAAGAAGUCAAAUACCCAGAUAAGACUAGCACACUUUGCACUGAAAUCUUCAGUGUCAUCAGUGCCAAGUUGGCGACUCAGACGGAGGUGGACGUGUUGCUGAUAAAGCCCAAUCGGACGUGUCUCAGCAGACGAGGCUGUCAGUAGGACCGACUUUCCUUGACGUGCAUUUGGUUUCCCAAAGUCCGACUUCAUAUCUGAAGCAAUCUGGCAAUCUGAUGCAGUGACGCUGCUGCAGUACUUCAUUAAAAGACUCUAAAUUCACUACGCCGAGUCCCAAUAAAGAAGCGAACCACUAUUUGCCAGGUAAAGAAGCAGAGGAGUAAUCUGUAGCCGUCCUGACCUUAACCCCAUCUAACAGCUUUGGGAUGGACUGGAACGCUGACUGGGAGCCAGGAGCCAGUGUUGGCUGCAUCGGGGCAGAUCUCUGCAGCCGGGCAACACACAGUGGGCCUGAAACCAGAGGAGCGACGCCCAGUGGUUAAAAAUAACACAUGGCUGGAAUA